CCUANGGGUGGCAGCAGCAAGGAAUAUUGGGCAAUGGGCGAAAGCCUGACCCAGCGACGCCGCGUGGAGGAAGAAGGCCUUCGGGUUGUAAACUCCUUUUACCGGGGAAGAAUAAUGACGGUACCCGGGGAAUAAGUCUCGGCCAACUACGUGCCAGCAGCCGCGGUAAUACGUAGGAGGCAAGCGUUAUCCGGAUUUACUGGGCGUAAAGAGUACGUAGGCGGCUUUGUAAGUCGGAUGUAAAAUCUCCUGGCUUAACUGGGAGGGCGCAUCCGAUACUGCUUAGCUUGAGUGUCGCAGAGGGAAGCGGAAUUCCCGGUGUAGUGGUGAAAUGCGUAGAUAUCGGGAGGAACACCAGUGGCGAAGGCGGCUUUCUGGGCGACAACUGACGCUGAGGUACGAAGGCGUGGGGAGCAAACAGGAUUAGAUACCCGANUANUC
rnacentral:rRNA from 1 species